GAUCCUGGCUCAGGAUGAACGCUAGCGACAGGCUUAACACAUGCAAGUCGAGGGGCAGCGAGGGAGUGGCAACACUUCUGUCGGCGACCGGCGCACGGGUGAGUAAAGUGUAUGCAACCUGCCCUUCACAGGGGGAUAACCGGGAGAAAUUCCGACUAAUACCGCAUACGUCCUCCGGGGGCAUCCCCGGGGGAUGAAAGAAUUAUCGGUGAAGGAUGGGCAUGCGUGAUAUUAGGUAGUUGGCGGGG
rnacentral:rRNA from 1 species